GCCCAUCUAGCGUAAUGGAAAACGCGCCCUGAGAGUGCUGAACCGGCGACUGCACUACCAAAAGAAAGUAAUACCGAGUAGGAGGAUAAGCCCGACGGAGCCUUCAGGGAGUCUUGGUUCGAUUCCAAGGGUGGGCA